CCGCUAAUGACCUAAUGACGAAGGUAGUUUCUCUUUACUUCUCUUGGAAAUUACUUGAAGUCGGCUUUGCAGCGGAGCUGGAGUGAGGGGCCGGGCAGAAGCCCGGGGCCUGUGCGCCGUCGGCCGCAGGUUCCCGAAGUUCAUUGUCCUCUUCAUCUGACGUAAGAGCUGCAGAGCAGACAUGGAUAUGGAUGCAUCUGGGAGUGUGUCACAUGGAAACCACACACUUAGCAGAGGUUCAGAAUCUGAGUUCUCAAGGUGAGCCUCCUGGAUUUUAUUUUUAAAUGAAAUCA
rnacentral:lncRNA from 1 species